GGCCCGGUGGCAGAAUGGUUAUGUACUUGGCCUUGCAAUCCGAGAGAUGUCGGUUCGAUUCCGACCCGGGCCU
rnacentral:tRNA from 1 species